AUUUUAUUUCCCCAAUAAAAUGCUUUCAAUUUGUAACAGAUGAAGUGGUUUCUACAUAUAUUCGUUUUUUCCAAACUCAUUUUUCUUUCCACUAGCCAUUUUGUUGAUCUGCUUCACGUGGAUGAUUGUCGAUUUUGGCAAUAUGUUGCCACAUCAACACAGCAAGAAAAAGAGCAUCCUUCAGUUAUACAAGUGUGGAUUAAGAGGCUGGGGUUCAGUAUUUUUUGAUAUGGUUCUAAGAAGGGUGAGAUUAUGUUUAGAGACCUAAUACAUGCAUCUUUCUCCUGCAAAUUCAUGCAGAAAAUAAUUCUUAUGUGUUGCAGGUGAUUAUCAAUAAAGCAAAUUGAUCACUGCUGCA
rnacentral:lncRNA from 1 species